GUACACAUCUAGAGAGAAAGGAGCUGGGAUUUGAACCAAAGCAGUCCUUGAGCCAAGAGAAUCUAUCCAUUAUAUUCUCCUUUGUCUUCAGAGGAAUGCAUUCACAUCGAAAGUUAUAUCAGAAGGAUACCUAGAGAUGUGGAAAUAUGGAAUUGUGGACUAUGACUUUAAGACUCACAAAAUCAAAUGUUCUUAGAAUCACAAGGUCUGAUGAUUGAAGGACACCCUGGCUGCCCUGAAAGUCCACAUUCACUGCCCACAUUUGCUCCACAGUAUUUGUACUAAAUGGUGUCCAAUCUUACUAUGUCUUCAAGACAGUUGAUGAUAAGGAACUCACUAUCUUCUGAAGGUACCCUCUUUACCUUUGUGCACUUUGCCAAAUAGAACAUAUAUAUUUCACAAAAUAAACUAUAGCCUGACUUCUUAAAUGUUCUAUCCACUGGUCCCAAUUUUGCUCCUUAGGAACACAGAGACUAAGGCUAAAGUGUCUUGCAUUUGGUAACCGUUCAUUUGAAAAUAAUAGCUCUUCUACCGUAUUUCUAUUUUGUCUUAUCCAAUAUUAGUAUUGCUAUUUCCUCAAAUAUUCCUUUUAUAAAAUUUGUUGAAUUUACCUUCCAGGUACUGAAGGCUUUGAUGGGAGAAAGCAUCUCAUUUCCCAUUUCUGAGAAACAGAAAAAUAAGACCUGAAUAAAGCCCAUGACAAUCAAUUUGAAACUACUCUCAAAACCAAGAGGCCAACUGGAGUCCAACUUCAAAGCACUGACACAUUUGGUGUCUGAUGAUGUCCGGCUUUCUCAUAGACGGCUACCUUCUUCUCACUGUUACCUCAUAUGGUGGAAGAGAAAGUAUCAUCUGCCAGGAUUCUCAGUCCUGGACAGCAAGCAGUUAACCCUGGGGAAGGGAGAAAGGAGAAGACAAUGGAGGAAUGGUCUUCAUUUCCAGGGGCAUCUGCUUCCCAAAAUGAAACAUUUGGAAGUUUUUUGAGGGCUCAAGAAGGGAGCUCUAAAAUGCAACAUGUGAAGUGAGGUUAUUUAAAUUCUGAUCUAACUGUGUGGCCUAUCUUCAUGCCUGCAUUAAAAUUGUUCAGACUUUGACCAUCC
rnacentral:lncRNA from 10 species